UCGGGAAUUUUGGGCAAUGGGGGAAACCCUGACCCAGCAACGCCGCGUGAAGGAUGAAGUAUUUCGGUAUGUAAACUUCGAAAGAAUAGGAAGAAUAAAUGACGGUACUAUUUAUAAGGUCCGGCUAACUACGUGCCAGCAGCCGCGGUAAUACGUAGGGACCAAGCGUUGUUCGGAUUUACUGGGCGUAAAGGGCGCGUAGGCGGCAUGACAAGUCACUUGUGAAAUCUCUGGGCUUAACCCAGAACGGCCAAGUGAUACUGUCGCGCUAGAGUGCAGAAGGGGCAAUCGGAAUUCUUGGUGUAGCGGUGAAAUGCGUAGAUAUCAAGAGGAACACCUGAGGUGAAGACGGGUUGCUGGGCUGACACUGACGCUGAGGCGCGAAAGCCAGGGGAGCAAACGGGAUUAGAUACCCCAGCAGUCCCUGAGCGGGCUGGCAAGGCGCAU
rnacentral:rRNA from 1 species